rnacentral:rRNA from 2 species
CCUACGGGGGGCUGCAGUGGGGAAUAUUGGGCAAUGGGCGAAAGCCUGACCCAGCAAUGCCGCGUGUAUGAAGAAGGUCUUCGGAUUGUAAAGUACUAUAUUGGGGAAGAACACAAUGACGGUACCCAAGAGAAAAAGCCCCGGCUAACUAUGUGCCAGCAGCCGCGGUAAUACAUAGGGGGCUAGCUUUGUCCGGAAUUACUGGGCGUAAAGGGUGCGUAGGUGGCAAUGUAUGUUGGAAGUGUAAUCCCUCGGGCUUAACUCAGGGGCUGCUUCCAAAACUGCAUUACUUGAGUGUCGGAGAGGAAAACGGAAUUCCUAGUGUAGCGGUGAAAUGCUCAGAUAUUAGGAGGAACACCAGAGGCGAAGGCGGUUUUCUGGACGACAACUGACGCUGAGGCACGAAAGCGUGGGGAGCGAUCGGGAUUAGAUACCCGUGUAGUC